CUGGUUGAUCCUGCCAGUAGUCAUAUGCUUGUCUCAAAGAUUAAGCCAUGCAUGUCUAAGUAUAAGCAAUCUUAACUGUGAAACUGCGAAUGGCUCAUUACAUCAGUCAUAAUUUAUUUGAUAUUUGAAAGUUACAUGGAUAACCGUGACAAAUUACAGCUAAUACAUGCAGCAAGACCUCUAUGAGGUUGUAAUUAUUAGUAUUAAACCAAUUCCUUCGGGAAUGUGAUGAAUCAUAGUAAUCGAACGAAUCGCAGAAUUCUGCGAUAAAUCAUUCAAGUUUCUGCCCUAUCAGCUUUGGAUGGUAGUGUAUUGGACUACCAUGGCAAUCACGGGUAACGGAGAAUUAGGGUUCGAUUCCGGAGAGGGAGCCUGAGAAACGGCUACCACAUCUAAGGAAGGCAGCAGGCGCGUAAAUUACCCAAUCCCGGCACGGGGAGGUAGUGACGAAAAAUAACAAUACAGGACUCACAUCCGAGGCCCUGUAAUUGGAAUGAGUACACUUUAAAUCCUUUAACGAGUAACAAUUGGAGGGCAAGUCUGGUGCCAGCAGCCGCGGUAAUUCCAGCUCCAAUAGCGUAUAUUAAAGUUGUUGCGGUUAAAACGUUCGUAGUUGAAUUUGUGUCCCACACGGGUAAUUGGCCCACUUACGGGUUCUUAUUACUUGCCGGCUUGCUGGCUUUAGUGUGCGGACGUUUUACCGGUGAGGGAAACGGUGUAGUUUCGGCUGCAAUACGCCCCUUAUUUAUUUCAUAAACCCGUCUUGGUGCUUUUAAUCGAGUGCCAAUGUGGGCCGGUACUAUUACUUUGAACAAAUUAGAGUGCUUAAAGCAGGCUAAAUUUAAUGAAAGUUAAAACGCCUGAAUAUAUUUUGCAUGGAAUAAUGGAAUAGGACCUCUGUUCUACUUUCAUUGGUUUUUAGACCAAGAGGUAAUGAUUAAUAGAAGCAGUUGGGGGCAUUAGUAUUACGA
rnacentral:rRNA from 1 species